rnacentral:rRNA from 1 species
CCUACGGGAGGCAGCAGUAGGGAAUUUUCUUCAAUGGGCGCAAGCCUGAACGAGCGAUGCCGCGUGAGUGCAGAAGUCCUUCGGGUCGUAAAGCUCUGUUGCGGGGGAAAAAAGGCAGCAUCAGGAAAUGGGUGCUGACUGAUGGUGCCCCGCCAGCAAGUCACGGCUAACUACGUGCCAGCAGCCGCGGUAAUACGUAGGUGGCGAGCGUUAUCCGGAAGGAUUGGGCGUAAGGGGUGCUCAGGCGGUCCUGCAAGUCUGGAGUGAAAAGCAUGAGCUCAACUCAUGCAUGGCUUUGGAAACUGGAGGACUGGAGAGCAGGAGAGGGCGGUGGAACUCCAUGUGUAGCGGUAAAAUGCGUAGAUAUAUGGAAGAACACCAGUGGCGAAGGCGGCCGCCUGGCCUGUUGUUGACGCUGAGGCACGAAAGCGUGGGGAGCAAAUAGGAUUAGAUACCCGAGUAGUC